UACGUAGGGUGCAAGCGUUGUCCGGAAUUAUUGGGCGUAAAGAGCUUGUAGGCGGUUUGUCGCGUCUUGCUGUGAAAUUUCGGGGCUCAACCCCGAACUUGCAGUGGGUACGGGCAGACUAGAGUGUGGUAGGGGAGACUGGAAUUCCUGGUGUAGCGGUGAAAUGCGCAGAUAUCAGGAGGAACACCGGUGGCGAAGGCGGGUCUCUGGGCCGAAUACUGACGCUGAGGAGCGAAAGCAUGGGUAGCGAACAGG
rnacentral:rRNA from 1 species